rnacentral:lncRNA from 1 species
UGUAGGAGAAGCAGUGCUGUGCCACUUCUGACUUGACCCUUGGGCCUGGCAGCUUUGCUCUUACACCUGCUAUUGGGAGUCCACAGUGCCUUGGAGAAAUCAGGUCUGUCCAACAGGAGGAUGAGAGCAAAGAUGCAGUCUCUGAACAUGGAGUCUUCACAGCCAGGAGACAUAUAUAUGAAGGAUCCACGAUAGUGGCUGCCCCCUGGACCAGCAUGGAAUCUUGUCAUGGAGCAACAUCUUCCUCUCUGGCCUUUCAGCAUGGCCCUCUCACCUGGGGAUCCAGUACCCUCCUGCAGUUACCCACGGCUGGCCACAUCAUGCCCUUUCUAAAACCUCAGCUCUUCCCCAACCCCAUACAGCCCAUCCUCCAGUCAUGAGGCUCCAUUUCUUGAAGUUCUUGACCUUGAGCACUGUUAAUUCUGCUGUUUGAGGGAAAUCCCUGGAAGAUGCUGAAUAAUGAGAGCUAAGGAGACAGAACUUUUUUUUCUGGCCAUGGAUGAAAUUCAAGCCCCAGUGCGUCAUGUCUGUGAGGUUUGUGGAAAGCUGGCUCCGACAACAGAGGUUGGAGAAGAGUGAGUAUCACUUGGGCAGCACUCAGCAGACAUUUAUCUGGCAUGACCUCUGUGCUCACACUGCCAGGGCUAGAGCUCAGGGCUGCACAAAAGCAUGGCCAUGUGGUGACAGUUCCUGCUGUGUCUGUCCUGUACUGUGCAUACUGUACCCAUCAUCUCAGUUCAUCCUCACAACCACCGCAGUAGGUAGUGUGCUCCUAUUUCACAGAUGAAGAAAGGUAAACCCAAGAAGGCUGAGGAAACUGCCCAAAGUCACAUGGCUGAGAAGAUACAGAACCAGAACUUGAACUUAGGUCUCACUUCUCCAAGGCCACUGCCUCCCAUCAGAUUACAGCCAGAAUGCUUGCAGAACAUGGGUGAAAUACUUCUUCAAACUCUAUUUAGAAUUAAAAGUUGGCUCAAAAUAUGCUAGGCUCAAUCCUUGGCAUGCUUAUCUUCUACUUAUUAUUCAUUUAUCACUGCUUCCCAGGUGCUCUCCCCAAAUCUUUAUUGUGCAUAUUAACAGGUUCCAAAGAAGUUAUUUCCAAUUUUCAAAUGAAGAGUUGCUUCUUCUCCCUAAAAUCAUUUCUUUAAGUAAAUCCACUUAUACAAUUGCCCAUUGUUUUUUUUUUGUUUCCUUAAAGGCAUUUAUUGAGUGUCUGAGGCACACAUAGCACUGUACUGGGUUCUGGGGAUUCAGCAGUGAUCAGGAGAGAUAAGGAACCUGCUAAAAUGGAAAUUAUGUUAUAGCAAAGCAGAU